rnacentral:rRNA from 1 species
CGGUGCUGGAAGGUUAAGGGGAUCUGUUAGAGCAAUCGAAGCAGUGAACUUAAGCCCCAGUAAACGGCGGCCGUAACUAUAACGGUCCUAAGGUAGCGAAAUUCCUUGUCGGGUAAGUUCCGACCCGCACGAAAGGCGUAACGAGUUGGGCACUGUCUCAACAACAGACUCGGUGAAAUUGUAAUUCCGGUGAAGAUGCCGGAUACCUGCGACAGGACGGAAAGACCCCAUGGAGCUUUACUGUAGCUUGACAUUGGGUCUUGGUACUACAUGUACAGGAUAGGUGGGAGGCUUUGAAACCAGGACGCCAGUUUUGG